rnacentral:rRNA from 1 species
GAGUGGACUCCUACGGGAGGCAGCAGUGAGGAAUAUUGGUCAAUGGGCGAGAGCCUGAACCAGCCAAGUCGCGUGAAGGAUGACUGUCUUAUGGAUUGUAAACUUCUUUUAUACGGGAAUAACAAGAGUCACGUGUGACUCCCUGCAUGUACCGUAUGAAUAAGCAUCGGCUAACUCCGUGCCAGCAGCCGCGGUAAUACGGAGGAUGCGAGCGUUAUCCGGAUUUAUUGGGUUUAAAGGGUGCGUAGGCGGUUUGUUAAGUCAGCGGUGAAAUCUAGAGGCUCAACCUCGAAACUGCCGUUGAAACUGGCGAACUUGAGUGUAGAUGAGGUAGGCGGAAUUCGUGGUGUAGCGGUGAAAUGCAUAGAUAUCACGAGGAACUCCGAUUGCGAAGGCAGCUUACUAAGGUACAACUGACGCUGAAGCACGAAAGCGUGGGUAUCAAACAGGAUUAGAUACCCUUGUAGUCCU